GGGGCCCAUCGCACAUCCUAGGCACAGAUGCUAAUGUAGGCACUGCAGGUAAGCUGGGCUUGGUACCCUUCCCUGGCUUCAGAAAGAAGCCAACAAGGAGCGUUUUGCAGAAUGAAACCUCUUUUCCAUCCAGAAGCACUGCUGACUGUAGGUGGUUGCCGUUUGUGGCAGUGAGCAUUUUGUCCAUUCUGAGGUUGGAUUGGUUUCUUCUUUUGGCCUUGCCCUGCCCUACAGACCAUAAAGGAGAACAGCAAGAGGCCCCCAGCAAACAUCCACAGAUGGCCCUGGACAUCAGCCACAUUCUGAGAAACAUGUCAUGUUCUGGGAGGGCUAAGGCAUCAAGUUAGGCCUACGGGGCUGGAUGAUCCCAGGCAACGUGGGGCAAUCCAGAGCCAUGGGGGCUUUCCAUGGGAAUUGGGAGGUCCCAAGGCAGAGUCAGAGGUUCCACAGGAGGAGUCACAGAGUCACCAAGGGCUCUCCUGGCCCAGGGAGCAGUCAACACCAUGGACUGAACACCUGCUGGGCUCCAAGCCCUGGGCCAGGCUGCCCAUGUGGGGCCAGGAGGCAGCUCAGAGUGGGAGGCAGAGAAGUGUGCUCAGAGGGCACCUGUAUCUGGAUGUAAUGUGGUCCUGAGACUGGCUGGGAAGUGCUUCCAGGGUAUCAUAUGUGUUAUGCAGUUACUUCCUCUCCCCAGCCUUACCCUGUAGGAAUUCUAGUGACUAUGUUGCCACCAUCUUGGAGCUCCAUGCCCUCAUAGUGUAAUGGCACCAGCAGAUCUGCCUGUGCAUGGACUUCCUGUACUACCUCACUCCUGAGGGGAGAUGUUUCUGCAGGGCCUAUGACCUGGUGCACAACUUUAGACACCAUCAUCCUGGAGCAGCACUGCACCCUCACUAGCCAGAGUGUUGACAUCCUCAAGGCCAGGGCCACAUUCAAGACUUUGGACUUCAUUGAUGCACUUGUGCUGAGCAAGAUCCUGGUCAGAGUAAAACAUUCCAUGGGAACUCGGGCUGUGAGAAACAUCCUAACCACCUGACUGCAGAAACAUCCUUAUCACAUCCUGCUGGGCAAGGGCCCAACAGCCUGACUUCAGGAACAUCCUUAUCAUCUUCUACUGAGCAGCAAGCUAUACUGUCCAGAGCCCUCCCUCCCAGCCCCAUGAUUACCCCAGCCUGUAAGUGGCAGUGGGCGCUGACACUAAGCUGGUUUCCCCCUCCGCAGGGUUUUGCUAGUAAUAAACCUGUGUUGCUGUUGAAGCGGCCA
ensembl:lncRNA CYP4F26P cytochrome P450 family 4 subfamily F member 26, pseudogene